CUCUUCUCUCCCCUGGCAAUCCCUCGCUAUCCAGCCCUAGCCGAUCUCCUUCCUCCUCCACGCGCGACCGUCCGAGCUCGCCAUCAUCAUCCAGGCUUGUGUGCAUGUGCCUACCCCUUCUCCUCGCACCUCACCCUCCAUGCCUCCUCCUGAUACACUUGGGCGAGACGUACCGGCCGUCUUCCCCGCACCCGGCGCCACUCACACCUCCCCCUCCAUCGCCUCCUCACACCGGCCGAUAGAUCUGGCCGUCACCAUCACCACCGCGCAGAUCCGGCUAUCCCCCCCCUCCCUGGACUAUCCACAUCUCGGGGCCAUGGAGGCCCGACGUCCUUCACAAAUUGCGAGAAAGAGUAGCAGUGCGGAUGCCGAGAUCCAACCUUCCCCUCCUCCUCCUCCUCCUCCUCCUCCUCUCUACCCCUCUCUCUAAGCUGCUGCAAUGAGACCAUUUACCAUGUGUUCUUGUAGUGAAUUUUUGGUCACUAGAUGUGAACGAAUUGAAGCAUGUUUUGUACUCUGAAUUGAAGCAUGCCUUUUGGAUAUGGAAGAUGGGAUCAAAGCACGCCUUGUGGAUAUGGGAGGUCAAUUGGUUACGGAAGAGAUGGAAGAAGGUUGUAUUUCAUACGUGAAAAUCGUGCCAAAGUCGAAGAAGAAAUGUGCAUUGCCAACUGUAGAUGGGUGAUUGGCCAUCUGAGGAGGCAAACGAUGGCUGAGUUAAUUAAGUUUCUUUGUGGUGCAUCCGUGUGAGACCUAGGAUUUAAAUGCAAGAAGGUGUGGAGUCACCUGUGUAAAAUGGAAAUGAAUGAGGAGAGCACUCUUGUAGGAUUGGACUGGGCAUAGGUGCCCGAUAACUAGACACGGAGGCCCGGAUCCGACCUUCCCUGCUUGAUCUUCCCUUUUUUGAUGACCUCCCCGCUCGGUAACAUACUUUACCUAACCUGGCCUAGCACAUUGAGGUAGUCUUAUGCUCGGCUGAUUCCUCAAUGAGAUCUUAUGGUAAAAUAUAUAGGUUCGCUAGGAUCUUAAAUAGGAAAGAUUUAUUCUACUGCAAACAAUUGCUGCCUACAAUUGUCCUUUAUUUGUAUUUAGGGUGUAGAAAUGUUUAUGAUUGUAAUUGUAUUCAUUUUCUUUCUAGGACAUAUUAGGCUGAUUUAGGAGAAAAUUAAACAGGGGUGUGCAGAAGGAUCUGUCAUUAAAGGUUAGAAGAGUACGAGUAAACCUGGUUUGGUUAAUCAAGUCAAGAAAUGCAAUGAUGCCAUAAUGAAGGAAGCCAUCGUUGGCGAACAGUUCCAACAACUGGCUGUGUUCGAUUACAAUCCUGUCAAUAGCUUUAAAGUACCGUUGUUGCUAUUUCCUGUCAACAACUGGCUGUGUUGAACACUGAAAAUUUCCUACUCCGUAUCAAAGUUGCUUGCUAUACCGAGGUAUUGUCCUGCUUAUGCAAAAAAAAAAUGUCCAAGUACAAGGGUUUUGUAACUUCUUCCCUAUUGAGAUAAAACAGUCCAGCCACAUUAACACGGCAUGACCGCACGAGCUUCAGACAAUGAGCAAAGCCUAUCUGUUAUGCUAAGAGACAUUGUCCAAAAUAUACGAUAAUUCACAAUUUCCCCUCUCGGUCUAAAGAAUAAAGACAAGGGAUGAUCUGAAAAAACAGGCAACAAAAGUGCAAAGGAAGAGACAACAAAGGAUCAAAGAAGGAAGAUCGGUAGUGUUGAUGGAGCAAAGACAGUGCUAGGAAAUGGAGUACAUCUCAUGUUCUUUCAUUUUUCUAUUUUUCCUAUAUAAGACACAUAAUUCCUUACAUUCCCAGCAAGUUUACGUUACAAGCUGUUGGAAUAAAUGUUCAGACGUAGCAAAGAUAUCAUCUUAUAAAUAAAAGAGCC